GUUUAUGUAGAUUAAAAUGUAAAGCACGGCACUGAAAAUGCUGAGAUAAAAAUUAAAUAUUUUUCAUAGACA
rnacentral:tRNA from 1 species